rnacentral:rRNA from 1 species
AGCUCCAAUAGCGUAUAUUAAAAUUGUUGCAGUUAAAAAGCUCGUAUUCGGAACGCGACGCAUAUCUUGCUUGUCUCCUUCGCGGGAGCGCUGGUAUGCAAGGACUUCUUUGGAAGCCUCUGUUACUUUGAGAAAAAUUGAGUGUUUCAAGCGGGCCAGAGCUGAAAUAGUGUACCAUGGAAUGACGCAGUGGCUGUCCCUCCGUUUCUUCGGUUUUGGACGGGACAGCGCGUGGUUGAUAGGAGCAGUCAGUGAUAUUCGUAUUGAACAGUCAGAGGUGAAAUUCUUAGAUUUGUUCAAGACGGACUAAUGCGAAAGCAUCUAUCAGGGAUGCUUCCA